rnacentral:rRNA from 1 species
AUGAACGCUGGCGGCGUGCCUAAUACAUGCAAGUCGAGCGAACAGACGAGGAGCUUGCUCCUCUGACGUUAGCGGCGGACGGGUGAGUAACACGUGGAUAACCUACCUAUAAGUCUGGGAUAACUUCGGGAAACCGGAGCUAAUACCGGAUAAUAUAUUGAACCGCAUGGUUCAAUAGUGAAAGACGGUUUUGCUGUCACUUAUAGAUGGAUCCGCGCCGCAUUAGCUAGUUGGUAAGGUAACGGCUUACCAAGGCAACGAUGCGUAGCCGACCUGAGAGGGUGAUCGGCCACACUGGAACUGAGACACGGUCCAGACUCCUACGGGAGGCAGCAGUAGGGAAUCUUCCGCAAAGGGCGAAAGCCUGACGGAGCAACGCCGCGUGAGUGAUGAAGGUCUUCGGAUCGUAAAACUCUGUUAUUAGGGAAGAACAAAUGUGUAAGUAACUAUGCACGUCUUGACGGUACCUAAUCAGAAAGCCACGGCUAACUACGUG